UUUACGGAGAGUUUGAUCCUGGCUCAGGAUGAACGCUGGCGGCGUGCUUAACACAUGCAAGUCGAACGAUGAAGACUCCUGCUUGCAGGGGUUGGAUUAGUGGCGAACGGGUGAGUAUCACGUGAGUAACCUUCCCUUGACUCUGGGAUAAGCCCGGGAAACUGGGUCUAAUACUGGAUAUGAUCUUUCACCGCAUGGUGGAAGGUGGAAAGAUUUAUCGGUCUUGGAUGGACUCGCGGCCUAUCAGCUUGUUGGUGAGGUAAUGGCUCACCAAGGCGACGACGGGUAGCCGGCCUGAGAGGGUGACCGGCCACACUGGGACUGAGACACGGCCCAGACUCCUACGGGAGGCAGCAGUGGGGAAUAUUGCACAAUGGGCGCAAGCCUGAUGCAGCGACGCCGCGUGAGGGAUGACGGCCUUCGGGUUGUAAACCUCUUUCAGUAGGGAAGAAGCCUUUCGGGGUGACGGUACCUGCAGAAGAAGCGCCGGCUAACUACGUGCCAGCAGCCGCGGUAAUACGUAGGGCGCGAGCGUUAUCCGGAAUUAUUGGGCGUAAAGAGCUCGUAGGCGGUUUGUCGCGUCUGCUGUGAAAGCCCGGGGCUUAACUCCGGGUCUGCAGUGGGUACGGGCAGACUAGAGUGCAGUAGGGGAGACUGGAAUUCCUGGUGUAGCGGUGAAAUGCGCAGAUAUCAGGAGGAACACCGAUGGCGAAGGCAGGUCUCUGGGCUGUUACUGACGCUGAGGAGCGAAAGCAUGGGGAGCGAACAGGAUUAGAUACCCUGGUAGUCCAUGCCGUAAACGUUGGGCACUAGGUGUGGGGGACAUUCCACGUUUUCCGCGCCGUAGCUAACGCAUUAAGUGCCCCGCCUGGGGAGUACGGCCGCAAGGCUAAAACUCAAAGGAAUUGACGGGGGCCCGCACAAGCGGCGGAGCAUGCGGAUUAAUUCGAUGCAACGCGAAGAACCUUACCAAGGCUUGACAUGUGCCAGAUCGCCAUAGAGAUAUGGUUUCCCUUUUGGGCUGGUUCACAGGUGGUGCAUGGUUGUCGUCAGCUCGUGUCGUGAGAUGUUGGGUUAAGUCCCGCAACGAGCGCAACCCUCGUUCCAUGUUGCCAGCGGGUUAUGCCGGGGACUCAUGGGAGACUGCCGGGGUCAACUCGGAGGAAGGUGGGGACGACGUCAAAUCAUCAUGCCCCUUAUGUCUUGGGCUUCACGCAUGCUACAAUGGCCGGUACAAUGGGUUGCGAUACUGUGAGGUUGAGCUAAUCCCAAAAAGCCGGUCUCAGUUCGGAUUGGGGUCUGCAACUCGACCCCAUGAAGUCGGAGUCGCUAGUAAUCGCAGAUCAGCAACGCUGCGGUGAAUACGUUCCCGGGCCUUGUACACACCGCCCGUCAAGUCACGAAAGUUGGUAACACCCGAAGCCGGUGGCCUAACCCUUGUGGGGGGAGCCGUCGAAGGUGGGACUGGCGAUUGGGACUAAGUCGUAACAAGGUAGCCGUACCGGAAGGUGCGGCUGGAUCACCUCCUUU
rnacentral:rRNA from 1 species